rnacentral:lncRNA from 1 species
UCUAAUUGAAUUAGGAUCCAAUUGAUUUCAUAAUUAGUCUAAGAUCUAAUUUAUUUAUUUAUUUUAUAAUUAUUUUUUAAGUUAGUUAGGAUUGGAUCCAAGAAUUAGUUAGAGUUUGAUCAAGAUUCAUGUGCCCUAUUUGGAAUAGGGCUAAACCAACUAAACCCCAUCUAUUUAAGUGAUCCUCCAUGCCUCCACUCCCUUUCACCAUGGAAUAUAUCAUGCCCCACC